GAACUGCGAAACGUGAUGUGACCUGCACUCUUCGUGAAUCAUCCAAUCUUUGAACGCACAUUGCGCCCGCCAGCCAUUCUGGCGGGCAUGCCUGUCCGAGCGUCAUUUCAACCAUCAAGCCCCGUGCUUGUGUUGGGGAGCUGCGGGCCCUCCGGGGCGCGCAGGCCCUGAAAUGCAGUGGCGGGCUCGCUGACACACCGAGCGUAGUAGCAUAAUUCUCGCUCUGGGCGUGCUGCGGGUACCGGCCGUGAAACGACCUCUCGAGAGAGAGGACACCCAAAGGUUGACCUCGGAUCAGGUAGGAAUACCCGCUGAACUUAAGC
rnacentral:misc_RNA from 1 species